GUUAUGUCAGCAAAGGGGGGGACCAACUCCAUAUUAAUGCCGAUGAUUUUGGAAUGAGAUGUUCGACGAGCAGCUCAACCAGGGUGAUCUACCUCUGCUGGUGGUGGGGAGGACAUUGUCGUUACUGUUGUUGAGUAGGUAACAAGACAGGGAUAAGCCAUGGUGAAGAGUAAGGGCUUUAGAAAGGACUUAAAGAUGGUGACGGACUCCAGAGUCAUGGGUGGCUGGAGGGAGGGUUCCAGAGCCUUGGAGAAACCGGGAGAAGGCCCUAUCGCCGAAGCUCUGGCGCUUGGACCUGGGAACGACAAGGGGGCCUGCUGUGGUGGAACGGAGUUAGUGUGUGGGUUGGAAGGAGAGAAAAAGGUCAGAGAUGUUUAGGGGGGAGAAAGUUAUUUGAGCAAUGCAUUACUGGCAAUAAGUGUUCUACACUGCCAUUUUUUUGUGUCCCACAUUUAUUUAUAUAAAAAAAACAAACGUGUUAACAACGCAAUAUUGUUAAUCAACCAGGUUGUCACCAAAAUAAUUAGAAUAUAAUAGUAGCCUUAUGUUUUUUACAUUUUAUUAAUGCCAGUACUGUUUUCUCUGCUCGUUUUCUCUUAAUACUUUGGAAUACUG
rnacentral:lncRNA from 1 species